AUUGAACGCUGGCGGCAGGCUUAACACAUGCAAGUCGAGCGGAGAGAGGUAGCUUGCUACUGAUCUUAGCGGCGGACGGGUGAGUAAUGCUUAGGAAUCUGCCUAUUAGUGGGGGACAACAUUUCGAAAGGAAUGCUAAUACCGCAUACGUCCUACGGGAGAAAGCAGGGGAUCUUCGGACCUUGCGCUAAUAGAUGAGCCUAAGUCGGAUUAGCUAGUUGGUGGGGUAAAGGCCUACCAAGGCGACGAUCCGUAGCGGGUCUGAUAGGAUGAUCCGCCACCUUGGUACUGCAGCCCGGCCCAGGCUUCUACGGGAGGCAGCAGUGGGGAAUAUUGGACAAUGGGCGCAAGCCUGAUCCAGCCAUGCCGCGUGUGUGAAGAAGGCCUUAUGGUUGUAAAGCACUUUAAGCGGGGAGGAGGCUACUUUAGUUAAUACCUAGAGAUAGUGGACGUUACUCGCAGAAUAAGCACCGGCUAACUCUGUGCCAGCCGCCGCCGUAACAC
rnacentral:rRNA from 1 species